AUGUCGACGUUGUCGCCGGUGAGCGGGGCCGCGUCGCCGGAGGCGGAGGGUGGCGGGGGCAGGAAGUACAAGGGCGUGCGGCGGCGCAAGUGGGGCAAGUGGGUGUCGGAGAUCCGGCUGCCCAACAGCCGGGAGCGCAUCUGGCUGGGCUCCUACGACGCGCCCGAGAAGGCCGCGCGCGCCUUCGACGCCGCCUUCGUCUGCCUCCGCGGGCCCGGCGCCGCCGGCGCGGACCUCAACUUCCCGGACUCGCCGCCCCCGCCGUGCCGCCACAGCGUCGACCCGCAGGAGGUGCAGGCGGCCGCGCUCUCCCACGCCAACCGCGCCGCCGUCUCGGUCAGGGAGGCGGCCGCGGCUCUCAUGGAGGACGACUGCUCGCGGGCGCCGGCCGCGCUGUCGACGGAGCAGUGGCCCGUGACGCAGCCGUCGUGGGCGCAGCAUGACAGCGGCAUGGACAUUUUCGGCGACGAGGUGGCGGCCGCGCCGGACGGCAGCAUGGACUGGCGCUCGGUCAUGGCGCACCAGCCGCCGCUCUUCUCGCCGACGGCCGGCUGGGGCAGCAAUGCGUACGACUUCCUGCAGCUGACGCCGCCGCCGACGCAGGGCGACGAGGACAUGGAGGAGUGUGGCCAUGGCGCCAGCGCUUCCCUGUGGAGCUUUGACUCCCGAGACUCCUACUUCAGAUACUAG
rnacentral:rRNA from 1 species